rnacentral:misc_RNA from 1 species
GAAAGUUGGAAUUUUUGGGUUGUUUUUGUUUCAUUUCAAAUUUUCAGAGUUAUGGUUCGUGAGAAACAUAAACCUCUGAAGCUUUAUCAGGUUUGGAAGGGUAGUAAUAAAUUCUUAUUGGGAGGAAGAUUGAUCUUCGGUCCGGAUGUGUCAUCAUUGUUUCUAUCAACACUUUUGAUUGCUGGCCCAGCACUUGCUUUUUGUAUAAAAGUCUCUUGUGUAAUCAGACAUCGUAUCAGAGAGCACAAAGAUGCUGGUCCUUGGUAUCCUAUACUUGUAAUUGGAGCAGUUCUUACUAUUAUGGAUAUUGUUUUUCUCUUUUUAACAUCUAGUAGAGAUCCUGGAAUUGUCCCACGAAACAUAACUCCUCCUGAAUCUGACGAAACAUUUGAUAUACAUACCCCUUCCAUGGAGUGGGUCAACGGUAGAACUCCUCAUUUGAAACUUCCACGAGCAAAAGAUGUAAUCGUGAAUGGACACACAGUUAAAGUCAAGUACUGUGAUACAUGUUUGCUGUACCGGCCUCCUCGUUCCUCUCAUUGUUCGAUCUGCAACAAUUGUGUUCAAAGAUUUGAUCAUCACUGUCCCUGGGUUGGCCAAUGCAUUGGGCUUCGGAAUUACAGAUUCUUCUACUUGUUCAUAUCUACAUCA